CCUACGGGAGGCAGCAGUGGGGAAUAUUGCACAAUGGGGGAAACCCUGAUGCAGCGACGCCGCGUGAGUGAAGAAGUAAUUCGUUAUGUAAAGCUCUAUCAGCAGGGAAGAAAAUGACGGUACCUGAGUAAGAAGCCCCGGCUAACUACGUGACAGCAGCCGCGGUAAUACGUAGGGGGCAAGCGUUAUCCGGAUUUACUGGGUGUAAAGGGAGCGUAGAGGGCAGUGCAAGUCUGGAGUGAAAGGCGGGGGCUCAAUCCCCGGACUGCUCUGGAAACUGGACGGCUGGAGUGAGGGAGAGGUAAGUGGAAUUCCUAGUGUAGCGGUGAAAUGCGUAGAUAUAAGGAAGAACACCAGUGGCGAAGGCAGCUUACUGGACCGUAACUGACGUUGAGGGACGAAAGCGUGGGGAGCAAACAGGAUUAGAUACCCGGGUAGUC
rnacentral:rRNA from 1 species